GAUGGGACGAUCGGCGGUCGGAGAUUCUUCGAGGAAAAUCCCAAAGAAAGAACAGAAAACCCCAACUAAGAAAUCAGCGAUGGGACGAUCGGCGGUCGGAGAUUCUUCGAGGAAAAUCCCAAA